GGAAGUAAGCUCUGUUAAACUACUUCGCGCAGAAGACCGCGAACACAAGUCAAGAUAGAAAGUCCACGUGAAGACUUACUACGCGACUUUUUUUUCCCGUGACUCCCUGUUAUCUCACUAACAAAGCACGAUAAGCGGCCGCGACACACGAUUUGCAUGCUUUUGACAUGAUUUACCAACAACAGCCAACGUACACAUGUAAUUGACCACGUUUGCCCGACUUGAAUCUCUCAUAUCAAGCUAAAGCUAGCCCGGCUACGUCAGCGCACUGUGCAAGUUGACCGGCAAAGUAGCGUGGUUCUCCGAUUUUGGGAAUGUCAACGCCUCCCUGUGGUAUAAACAUAUAUGGGAGCGAUUCCGAAGACGAGUCCCAGGUCCCCCUCAAUCAGUUCUACCCUUACAUCCGAUGUGGCCUGUGCUGCGGCUUCCUCAUUGAUGCCACCACCAUCACAGAGUGCUUACACACAUUUUGCAAAAGUUGCAUCGUGAAGCAUUUUUUCAACAGCAACAGGUGUCCAUCAUGCACCAUUAUAGUGCACGAAACGCAACCUCUUUACAAUAUUAGGCCUGACAGACAACUGCAGGAUAUUGUGUACAAGAUGAUUCCUUACCUUGAGGAGUUCGAAAGAGAGCAGAUGUGUAACUUCUACAAAAGACGAGGGCUGGUGAUACCCAAAUCAGUGGGGUUCUCCACACCAGCUCCUCUGGCAUCAAAACGACAAAAGAAGGACCCAGUGCCUCAGUGCGUGAUCAACAUUCCGCCUGAGCUGGACGUGUCGCUCUUGCUAGACUUUGUUGGGGCUGAAGAGGGGAUAAACAGCUACAAGCCACUAGAGAGGCCGUACGUGCGUGUGUCCGGUGACGCCACCAUUCGCCACGUGGAGCUGUUCAUCAGGAAGAAGAUGGAACUCGGCCCAACUUGCCAGGUAGAUGUGGUUUGUGGAGAUCAACUCCUGGAUCACUAUCAGUCGCUAAAAGAUGUACAGAAUUUUGUGGGAGCUGAGGCUGUGCAGGAUGGUUUUCUGGUGCUGCACUUUGGCUUGGUCCUGUCCUGUCUGGCUUGAAAGGCUAGAGUAGCUUGGCUUCCUAGUGUCGCACACCUUUUGUAAACUGCAAAAUGACUGGAGCAAGUUACUAGCAUCAGCAAUAUGAUGGGAUUUUUUUAAGACUAUUUUUCGGGCCAUGUCUAUUGUGUCUAAUGGUGGAUUCAGCUAGUUUAUAUUUUUUUAUACUUUGCCUUAUACUUUAUAUUUUUGUUUACUUUGCCAAGAUGAUGCAACAUUUUCUCUGCUGAUUUCUGUAGCUGAGGUUAUCAUGAAAAUGUCACUCAAGGAGGACAACUGCCAAAGAUUUGUAAGCAUACUAUACGUAGAUUUACAUUGGCCUUAGAAUUGAAAUCUUUGUAGUUGCGCCCCCCUCAAAUCUAACUCUGAAUGAUUCUUUUUUGGGGGGUACAUCUUUGGGGACAAAGACCAUGAUCAAGUUGAAAUUGACCUCUGUGGUAGAAGUCUUUCAUCAGGUUUAACAAAAUGUUUGCUGUCUUACGACAAUUGCUUUGAAUAAAACCAUUAACGGUACUUUUCAACUGACUGCAUUUAGUCAAUCGUUUUAUUCUUUCAAUCAGUCAGUUCAAAUGAAUCACACAUUGGGUUGACAGUGAGUUCUAAAGCCAGAUGAAAUGCAGUCGUUUAAAUAUGUAGAGCAUUUUUAGUACCCGUCGUUCUCACAACCACUUUAUUAACAUCAAGUUACAGCUAUAGACACAAACACACAGUGUAGUAAGUUCACAUUCAGCGAAAAAGCACUAGUCUGAAAAUUUAAGUGAUGCGCAAAUAAGCAUAUCUUGGUGUAUUAAUAUUUAAAUUAGCCACUACACUUUGACAGAAAUGUCUACAAUUCUAGCACAUCAAUUGUCUAAUACUAUGUUAACAUCCUUUUGUUUACAUUUUGAUACAAGCUAUCAUUUGAGAUAGAUUUAGAGUCCAAAAAUGUUCAACAUGUUUCAGACUUAUGCACAAUGGAAAUAAAGAAAUCAUUUCUCGGCUUUUAAAUUGUGCAUAGUAUUCGACUAGAGCUUAGGAAAUGCAGGAUGUGCUAUUUAUCUCACUCCUUGUCUGCGCCCAUGACUUCAGUUGUUGGAGUUGAUGUCUGCUUCGUCUUUUUCCUCCUCCUUGAGGCUUUCCUUCUUGGCUCCGUCUUUGUCUCGCUGACCGCUUCUGGAGGAGCCGGCUGGGCUUCGGGGCUGGUAGCUGUAACUGGCGCCUCCGAACGACAUCCCUGAGUUAAAAGCCGAGGUGAGGUCGGGUUUGGCCAUUUCCAAUUCCACGGAGACUUGCUGCGCUUCCAUCAGACUGCUCAGCUCCUGGAUUUCCUCAUCGUGGACUUUGUUCAGAAAAGAGAUUUCAUCCAUCAGCAAUCCCACUCGGCGCUCCAGAUCAAGACGAGCGGA